GUAGUAUACAACAUAUACUAAAAUUGGAAUGAUACAGAGAAGAUUAGCAUGGCCCCUGCACAAGGAUGACAUGCAAAUUCAUGAAGUGGUCCAUAUUUUU
rnacentral:snRNA from 1 species